rnacentral:rRNA from 1 species
CGUCUACAUUAGAUACCCGCGUAGUCCCAGCCGUAAACUAUGCGCGUUAGGUGUAUCGGUGACCACGAGUUACCGAGGUGCCGAAGGGAAACCGUGAAACGUGCCGCCUGGGAAGUACGGUCGCAAGGCUGAAACUUAAAGGAAUUGGCGGGGAGCACCACAACAGGUGGAGCCUGCGGUUUAAUUGGAUUCAACGCCGGACAUCUCACCGGAUAAGACAGCUGAAUGAUUGUCAAUCUGAAGGUUUUACAUGACUAGCUG